CAACAGUCUCUGCAGCUGCUCAAGAGGUCAGGAGGUGGUCACAUGACCAAUGUCAGGUGUGACAGUUGGUGAAGGUUAGGCGGACAUCUUAGGGAGAGCAUGGUGGCUGGACUGGCGUGAGGAGGUGCUGCGCAGGUUACCUGUAAAAGCCACUGUCCCCGUGACCGGAGUUAGAGAAAUGGCAACCAGAGAGCAGUGAGAGCCUCCCGCAGCAUAUCUACAGCUUCCAGUGAUCGCAGCUGACAUGGGAGUGUGGUGAUGUAGCUCCCAUCCUCUAUAGGGGCAGACUGGAGGCAGUUCCCAGCCUGAGAAAGGGGACGGUGCAUCAGUGAGCACAGUGAACAGGAGCUGGUGAGCAAACACUGAGUACAUUGCACCUUUCAGAUCCGAGAACCCUUACUAAGAAUAUUCUGUCAGCAGUUUACCCUCUCCUUGCUGCAGCUGUUGUUAAAUCAUUUAGCAUUACAGACUUACAGUUUAGAGACUGUGAAAAGAGGACAGCAUACGUGCCUAUACUUAUUUAUACAUGCCACGAUCAUACACUCAGUAUCAGCUGCCAUGCUUCUAGAGAGUCCAAGGAAAGUCAUUUCAUCUGUAACAGUUAUAUUUUAGCGGCCAACACAGUGAUAUGGACCAGUAGCUGCAGGCCAAAGUAGCCGAGACACAUUGAGCGGCUUAGAUACUUAGUGAUACAGGCGCAUUCAGCAGCUCACCCUUAAAAGCAGAGAGGUGAGCCAGGGCCAAGUCUGGACCAAGUUUUACAGCUAACCUAGCUAGGUUCAUCACAGUGUUAGAGAUUAUGGACAAUCUCUGUUAAGGAACAGUUCUUUAGAUCCACCGUAAUAAACUACAGCUGGCUGGUAACACAUUGGGCUCUGAGACUAACCAGGGUGUAAUUAGAAAGAUUUAGCAGUCUCCACAGUUACUGCAGCUGCAUGCAAGGUAACAUCGCUGCAAUUUCUCACAGACAGAACUCCAACACCAAGCCCUCUGGCUACACGAAAUAAGAUGCCUUUCUUCUUGUGUGAUUUCUCCGCUAUUACUUUUAGCAUACCCAGAUUCAGUGAUUAAUCUCAGGAGAUUGACUAUCUAGAGAAAGUGCACUAUAACUACGAAAUAUCUAUAUAUACUUAUAUGAACAUUACAGAGGUUACAAAGGGGCCCCAAUUAAAAGAUCCAGAAGGAUCAGCAGCUUAUAACUUGCAAACAGGCAAUUGGAUAUAUCUGAAAAGACAUGCAGACAAAGGCUCUUGAAUCCAGAUUUGAAGGUUUAUGAAGCUGUAAGAAGACGACACCUGGAGACACGCAUCCCACUGCAAGAUCUUCACCCAAGAGGAGUGAAACUACCCGAGAACCUGAUGUUUGCUGAAACCUAUGCAAAAGUCAGACGGCAAUCCAAUCACUACCAAAGUACCAACUUCAAAAGAACUGUAGAGUCUGUGGAGAAAUCUUUUCAGAUACAGAUGCGAACACUUGUGACUAAUGCAAAGACAUCAUCAUUUCCUAAACGUUGCUGAGUCCAGAGGCUUAACAUGGGACAACUAGAGAAAAGGAUCAUGUGCUUGUCAAAGAUGGGGGAUGGACCAUUUUCCCACAAGAAGACCAGAGAGAGAGAGAGAGAGAGAGAGAGAGAGAGAGAGAGAGAGAGAGAGAGAGAGAGAGAGAGAGAGAGAGAGAGAGAGAGAGAGAGAGAGAGAGAGAGAGAGAGAGAGAGAGUGUGUGUGUGUGUGUGUGUGUGUGUGUGUGUGUGUGUGUGUGUUCCUAUGCAUGGAUUUCUGCAGCAGGAAUGCAUGUGUAUAAGUUACCGGUCAUGAUAAAAACAAGCCUAUGGUCCUGUUAGGUAAGAAAUAAGUCAAGUUAUGAAUCAAGAGAAGGGAAUGAUGGGGCUAAAAUAAGUUCAUCAUAAAGACUCCAUUUUGUAUAAGGUUUUGUCUUUCUGAUUCAUAAGCAGAUUUCAAUUAACAGUUAGAAAUAUAUUUGUAGCAAGCAAUAUGUUUAUUAUGUGAUAAGUCAGUAGCUUGUUAAAAAUAUAUUCUUACAGGGCAGGAACUCCCUACAUGUAUAUGGUAGCUCGUUAGGCUAAUAAGCCUAAAGAAUUCACACCUGCAGAUUAAAUGAGUUGCUAGUUAGUAUUUCCGGCAAGAUUCCCAGAUAUUGGCAAGAUGCCCAGAAAAGGACCUUCAAGCGUUUUGAAGGAAUUAGAACAAUUAUAAAUAUAAAAUCAUCUUUAUAAUAAUUGUAAGCUUCGUAUUUAAUAGCUAAAAGCACGUAUAAUGCUAUAUAAUACAUUUCAACCCAAUAAGCAGUUAUGUGAUUCUAUGUUUCAUAAUUUGGUAUUGAUUAGAAUGUUCACUGCUAUAAUCAAUGAACAUAGCCAGCUAGUAUAUGUAAUUUCCUUAAAAGAAUUACAUAGAUAUUUUGUGAGAAACUUAAGAGAAAUGAUUUCUCCAGCUGCAGUUCCAAGGACAUUUAGUUAACUGCCAGGCUAAGAUAAACCUUUAAUUGCAUGAUGAGAACAUUAAAGGAGUAUGUUUUGGAAUGUCCAGGUAACAAUGAAAAGAAGGUUUUCAAAAUGAAUGCCCAGAUGGCGAUAAGAAGAAGGCCAUAUUAAUGAGCAAGAAGUGAUAAGAAUAUGUUCAGGAAUGCUAUAAUUGGUUUCAUUAAAUAAUUGUUUAUCUUUGCACACGGUGUACUUUGAUUGGCUAAUACACUGCCAUACCUUUAUUCAUUUGUGUAUAAAUAAAGCUCCUAGAGCAACGAGGCAGGAGAUAUGUCAAGCUCAGCAGGUAAUUUCU